rnacentral:rRNA from 1 species
GACAGAGGAUGCAAGCGUUAUCCGGAAUGAUUGGGCGUAAAGCGUCUGUAGGUGGCUUUUUAAGUCCGCCGUCAAAUCCCAGGGCUCAACCCUGGACAGGCGGUGGAAACUACCAAGCUGGAGUACGGUAGGGGCAGAGGGAAUUUCCGGGUGGAGCGGUGAAAUGCGUAGAGAUCGGGAGGAACACCAAAGGCGAAAGCGCUCUGCUGGGCCGAAACUGACACUGAGAGACGAAAGCUAGGGGAGCGAAUGGG